UCCCUGGUGGCUCAGAUGGUAAAGAAUCUGCCUGUAAUGCAGGAGGCCCAGGUUCGAUCCCUGGGUUGGGAU